UGUAUUUAAAAAGCCUUUGGAAGAAGAAAUCCAGACUGUGGAAAGGUUGAAUACAACUCCUUCAAAACCUCUCCACUUUCUUCCGACUUCAUUCUAAAAUGGUGAGAAUAACCAAAGCCCUUCUGAAGGAAGCGACCUCUGGUUUCACCAACACGCUCUCCCAAAUCCUUGUCUGCCCCCUCUCCAAACAACCUCUAAGGUAUUGUGCGGCCUCGAAUUCUCUCAUCAGCGAUACGAUUGGUGUUUCUUUCCCUAUAAGGGACGGAAUUCCUUGUUUGGUGCCGAAGGAAGGAAGAAUAAUUGAAAAUGAUGAUGCAUUGAAAGAUGAGGAUACUGUUGAGAUUACUCGAGAAAAAUGAGCACUGUUUAGUUUGGGGGUCGAAGACAGUUUUUAUUUCUUGAGCUCAAUAAUCAGAAGAGAUGUCAACAUAACGCCACAACACUUCACACUUGUAUUUGUGAUUUGAUAAUUGAUAAUAUUUUUCUUCCAUGAGGUGAGAAGAACGGGGAAACAGGCGGUGCCAUAGUCACGAUAGUUAUGGUUAUGGCUAUUAUCGUUAUUAUUAUAGUUUUCUACCUUUACCAAUUUACUGUUUUUCAAAUUGUAUAGUGGGCACCAUCUCAUUGAGUUCUUGAUAGUUAAAUGGGGGUUGAAGUGUGAAAAACUCUUUGAUGGGUUUGCAUUCAUGCCAUCGCAAAAGGCAUCAAAGUUGAGUGGCAAUAUUCAAUUGGCUGAGAUUGUUCUCAAUUCGGAACCAGUCAAGGUUAUGCAAUACAUUUAUAUUAAUUUUGUGAAACUCUUUUUUUAGUAGAGCUUCGUAACCUGAUUUAGGAGACUUCUUGUGUAAAAUGACGAUGUUCAAGUGUUUGGUUUAGUUGUUAAUUUCAUUCUUCACCCUUGUUGAUGCGAGUGAGAAUAAAUUAUCCCGUCCAUUUUAGGUGAUCUUGUAAUAA